rnacentral:rRNA from 1 species
AGUCGAACGCGAAAGUUCCCUUCGGGGGACAAGUAGAGUGGCGCACGGGUGAGUAACACGUAGGUAAUCUACCUUCGGAUGGGGAAUAACAACCGGAAACGGUUGCUAAUACCGCAUAAUGCAGCGGCACCUAAUGGUGACAGUUGUUAAAGCGGGGGAUCGCAAGACCUCGCGUCUGAAGAGGAGCCUGCGGCGGAUUAGCUAGUUGGUAAGGUAACGGCUUACCAAGGCGACGAUCCGUAGCCGGCCUGAGAGGGCGGUCGGCCACACUGACACUGACAUACGGGUCAGACUCCUACGGGAGGCAGCAGUCGGGAAUUUUGGGCAAUGGGCGAAAGCCUGACCCAGCAACGCCGCGUGAAGGAUGAAAUCCCUCGGGAUGUAAACUUCGCAAGAACGGGAAGAAUAAGUCUGUGUAAAUACCACAGAUGAUGACGGUACCGUUUGUAAGCUCCGGCUAACUCCGUGCCAGCAGCCGCGGUAAUACGGGGGGAGCAAGCGUUGUUCGGAUUUACUGGGCGUAAAGGGCGCGUAGGCGGCCAGCGCAAGUCAGUUGUGAAAUCUCCGAGCUUAACUCGGAAAGGUCAACUGAUACUGCGCGGCUAGAGUGCAGAAGGGGCAACUGGAAUUCUUGGUGUAGCGGUGAAAUGCGUAGAUAUCAAGAGGAACACCUGCGGCGA